AAUUUUGGACAAUGGGCGCAAGCCUGAUCCAGCCAUGCCGCGUGAGUGAAGAAGGCCUUCGGGUUGGAAAGCUCUUUCGGACGGAAAGAAAUCGCGCAGGCUAAUACCCCGCCCGGAUGACGGUACCGUCAUAAGAAGCCCCGGCUAACUACGGGCAAGCCGCCGCGUCAAUACGUAGGGUGCGAGAGUUAACCGGAAUUCCUGGGCGUAAAGCGUGCGCAGGCGGUUGAUUAAGACAGGCGUGAAAUCACCGGGCUUAACCUGGGAACUGCGCUUGUGACUGGUCAGCUAGAGUACGGCAGAGGGGGGUGGAAUUCCACGUGUAGCAGUGAAAUGCGUAGAGAUGUGGAGGAACACAGAUGGCGAAGGCAGCCCCCUGGGCCGAUACUGACGCUCAUGCACGAAAGCGUGGGUAGCAAACAGG
rnacentral:rRNA from 1 species